ACAGGCACAACGUGUUUAUUCCGAACUUUAAAAGUGCGCGUUACAUAUCACACGCGAAAGUUUCGGCAUGACCGACAGUGAGAUUGACGCCAGUUCCUCUUGAACUUCGAGGUUAAGAGAAAUGGAAACACCUUUAUGGAGACCACUGAGCGACAAAAUAAACGGCGCGGUUUUUGCGACUGGAACACAAAGGUAACAAUAAGUAAAAACACUGCCUAGUAAUGUGGAUAUACUGCGCAAUAUAGUUUGUGUUCUUGCUCUUAAAGACAGGUGUCGCGUCUAGGUACAUGACAAGAUACUAUGAGCUAACAGCUUGUGGUGGCAUUGUUUGGCUAGAUACAUGUUUACAGUUUACGAUUUCUUCCCGUGGAUUCUAGAUGUUAACUCGAGCAAACUGCAACUUUGCUGCGCGGCUAGCUAUAGAUUAAACGACAAUGCUAACGGGAACAUUUCACUCCUAGCGUGUUGCAGACAGGGAGGCCCACUAACCAACAUAUGCAACAUGUGGAGCUAAAGGCUGACCAGCAUCACAGUAUAGCUAGGAAAGGCUAUCAGGCAACAUCAUGACAACAGGCUACUAUCUGGAAACCCGAACUUCUAAGCAAGGAAUCACGGCUGGUUAAGCGGUGCACAUUUGGCCUAAGGUAUUAUAUUACUAAUGCUUUGCUACACAGGCUGACUAAGGCAUCUUCAGCUAUAGAAGAAGAGUGUUUUAUGUCGAGUUGUCUUCAGCUACAUUUAAACACCGAGAGGGUAAUUGCCUUUUUCUUAUUUGUUUGUUUCACUGGGUAUGAAAAGUACAAAAAGGAGGCAGUGAGUUAGCUUAAGUCAUUAGGCAAACACACACUUGGUCUGUGGAGUGGAAAGUUUUUAACUUGCGGACGAGCACAGCAACGAUAUCGAUAUGCAGGAUAAAGAUGCAUGAGUUGCAUGGAAACAUCGUAGGGCUCGAAACAUGGUGCAUAAAAAGUAACAUAUGGAAGGCGAGGACAAUUUGUAACAAGUUUAGCUGCGUAACGGUUUCAGUACAGGACAAAGAUAACAGCGUGAUAGAGAACUAUGAGGAGCAAACGUUAACUAUACCACGUCGCCUCUGCAACAUGUUAUUGUGUUGUAUCAGAAAAACUCAAGUGCAAGGAUUAAAACUUCUUUGCAAAGUCACAGUAGAACGAAGGUGUUAUGCAUCUCUUUCAUUCAAUGGGAAGUUAAUUGUCUAGCUCAGCCAUCACAAUUGUUCACAUCCCCAAGCGAGUAAAGUUCAUUUGGCAAAUCGAAAAAUAGUGCGACAUUCACAUGCUUGGACAAACGUGAACAAGCCACCGCUUUCACGCGCCUGUAAUGACAGCUUGCUGUUUAAUAAAGAGCGCACCCCUUGCUAUCGUCUCAAAAUAAACAACAAAUGCUCUGGCUAGUGUCAUUAUUCUCCGUAGUGCCAGAUGUGUUCCGCAACUGCAAACAUAUGCGUAUGUAAAAAAAAAAAAAGACGAAAAUUAGCACUGUACCUCCAAGGUUACGUACAAGUACUUCAUGUCAUUGUGUGCGUGUGUGUGUGUGUGUGUGUCGAUGUGUGAAGACGCUCUGUUCAGAGCGGAAACCUUAAAUAACGAAAGGAAGGAGACACAA
rnacentral:lncRNA from 1 species